rnacentral:rRNA from 1 species
AGUGAACGCUGGCGGUAGGCCUAACACAUGCAAGUCGAACGGCAGCACAGUAAGAGCUUGCUCUUACGGGUGGCGAGUGGCGGACGGGUGAGGAAUACAUCGGAAUCUACUUUUUCGUGGGGGAUAACGUAGGGAAACUUACGCUAAUACCGCAUACGACCUACGGGUGAAAUCAGGGGAUCUUCGGACCUUGCGCGACUGAAUGAGCCGAUGUCGGAUUAGCUAGUUGGCGGGGUAAAGGCCCACCAAGGCGACGAUCCGUAGCUGGUCUGAGAGGAUGAUCAGCCACACUGGAACUGAGACACGGUCCAGACUCCUACGGGAGGCAGCAGUGGGGAAUAUUGGACAAUGGGCGCAAGCCUGAUCCAGCCAUACCGCGUGGGUGAAGAAGGCCUUCGGGUUGUAAAGCCCUUUUGUUGGGAAAGAAAAGCAGCAGGUUAAUACCCCGCUGUUCUGACGGUACCCAAAGAAUAAGCACCGGCUAACUUCGUG